rnacentral:rRNA from 1 species
CAGCAGCCGCGGUAAUACGUAGGUCCCGAGCGUUGUCCGGAUUUAUUGGGCGUAAAGCGAGCGCAGGCGGUUAGAUAAGUCUGAAGUUAAAGGCUGUGGCUUAACCAUAGUACGCUUUGGAAACUGUUUAACUUGAGUGCAGAAGGGGAGAGUGGAGUUCCAUGUGUAGCGGUGAAAUGCGUAGAUAUAUGGAGGAACACCGGUGGCGAAAGCGGCUCUCUGGUCUGUAACUGACGCUGAGGCUCGAAAGCGUGGGGAGCAAACAGGAUUAGAUACCCCAGUAGUCCCUGUCUCUUAUACA